GACGAACGCUGGCGGCGUGCUUAACACAUGCAAGUCGAACGAUGAAGCUGGAGCUUGCUCCAGUGGAUUAGUGGCGAACGGGUGAGUAACACGUGAGCAAUCUGCCCUUGACUCUGGGAUAACUGCGGGAAACUGUAGCUAAUACCGGAUACGACACCUUGGGGCAUCCCGGGGUGUGGAAAGAAUUUCGGUCAAGGAUGAGCUCGCGGCCUAUCAGCUUGUUGGUGAGGUAAAGGCUCACCAAGGCGACGACGGGUAGCCGGCCUGAGAGGGUAACCGGCCACACUGGAACUGAGACACGGUCCAGACUCCUACGGGAGGCAGCAGUGGGGAAUAUUGCACAAUGGGCGAAAGCCUGAUGCAGCAACGCCGCGUGAGGGAUGACGGCCUUCGGGUUGUAAACCUCUUUUAGCAGGGAUGAAGCGAAAGUGACGGUACCUGCAGAAAAAGCACCGGCUAACUACGUGCCAGCAGCCGCGGUAA
rnacentral:rRNA from 1 species